UCCAACACCCCUCCACCACUACACCUUAUCUAUCCAACACCCCUCCACCACUACACGUUAUCUAUCCAACACCCCUCCACCACUACACCUUAUCUAUCCAACACCCCUCCACCACUAUACCUUACCUAUCCAACACCCCUCCACCACUACACCUUAUCUAUCCAACACCCCUCCACCACUACACCUUACCUAUCCAACACCCCUCCACCACUAUACCUUACCUAUCCAACACCCCUCCACCACUACACCUUAUCUAUCCAACACCCCUCCACCACUACACCUUACCUAUCCAACACCCCUCCACCACUAUACCUUACCUAUCCAACACCCCUCCACCACUACACCUUAUCUAUCCAACACCCCUCCACCACUACACCUUAUUUAUCCAACACCCCUCCACCACUACUCCUUAUCUAUCCAACACCCUCCACCACUACACCUUAUCUAUCCAACACCCCUCCACCACUACUCCUUAUCUAUCCAACACCCCUCCACCACUACACCUUAUCUAUCCAACACCCUCCACCACUACUCCUUAUCUAUCCAACACCCCUCCACCACUACACCUUAUCUAUCCAACACCCCUCCACCACUACACCUUAUGUAUCCAACACCCCUCCACCACUACACCUUACCUAUCCAACACCCCUCCACCACUAUACCUUACCUAUCCAACACCCCUCCACCAACACUAUUCUCUUGACUCUGCCUUUUCCUUGUUUUCUUCCAUCUCACCCUCUCUCUUUCUCUUAUCCCCUCCCUUUCUCUUGCUCUCUCUCUAUCAUUAUUCUAUCAGUUGGAUGUGCUGUGUUGGUGGAGCAGCUGUUCUCUGCCACUGGGGCCUAUUAAUAGGAGUCACAGCCGUGGAGCCUUUGUUUCCUGUCUCUGUGUUUCUGGUAGAGCAAACUGUAGGCUCCUUGGCAGGUUAUAUUCUGGUUCAGUGCAGAGUUUGUGUGUGUGUGUCAUACCCCCACAGGUGAGAGUUUUGACGAUUGACAAGAGUAUUUCUUAUGUCAAUUCCUCUGGAUACAUUCCUAUUGACCAUGUUGACAAUAUUUGCUGUAUGGUUGUUCUUUUUCAUAUUGCUGGGAAGAUGUCUUGCUAUAUCCCUUUUCUUCUUCUGAGGAAACAGGUGGAUAGUGCUCUGAUGUAGAGAUUCAUCCUGAGAGAGACAGACCUGCCAUGGCAUAUAGUCAUUACUAUAUUAACAACAUUAUGUUUUAUUUUUUAAUCUUAACCUCUAGGCAAGUCAGUUAAGAACAAAUUCUUAUUUUCAAUGACGGCCUAGGAACAGGGGGUUAACUGCCUGUUCAAAUGGAUUGUCAGCUCGGGGGUUUGAACUUGCAACCUUCCGGUUACUAGUCCAACCACUAGGCUACCCUGCCGCCCCUUAUCAUAAACAUCAACAUUAUCCAAACCACAAGCUUACAACUAGCACAUUUUCAUUUCACUGGUAGAAUCAGGAAGUGCCCCUUUGUAUUCUUCUGCUCAUAGUGAACCACUAAGUCUGGCAUUCAUAGCGAAUCCUGAUACCACCCGCUAGUUAGAGGGGGCGUGUCCACAAACUUGAAUAAUGCCGUUGUUUACUUAGAACGACCAACACACAGUAAUCUCAGAACUUCUCGAGGCAAAAUAUUUUUGAAAAUGUUUUGUUUACACUAAUGGUUGUCAUCAUGCCUGUGUGGUGUUCUGUGCUAAUUACAAACAAGCGCGGACAUGACCAUUCCAGAGAUUCACACCCAAUUAACCCAGAUUCUGCCAGUUGCUUGCGUUGCGCCUUUCACGAAUGAUGCAGUGACCAAAGAUUAUCAGAGGAAUUUUCUGGCUGAAAUGAUGGGGAAUCCAUUUCGACGACAGCGGAGAAGUGAUGCGAUACCAUCCAAUUUUUUUCGUUCACAACAAAACGAAAGAUUCUCAAUUAGAGUUUACCUAGCGUUAGCUAGCUUGCUAGCCUAGCUGGGAGACAUGCAGUACCAGCAAAUCUUCUGCAAGAGGACAAAACAGUUGGUGUUAAGAAGCCCUACAACACUUUCGUCAGAGUCUUAUCCAGCUGGCCGUUCACUGCAGACCGGACAAGACCAUCGCCAUAAGCAUAAAGAGUCCCAGCUUCCCCAGCCCACCAUUGCCAGUGUACCGAAGCCGGAUAAAGGACUUAUUCUGCGUUUACACAGGCAGCCCAAUUCUGAUAUUUUUUUCACAAAUUGGACCAAUUAGUGGAAAAAAGAUCAGAAUUGGGCUGACUGUGUAAACGCAGCCAGUGUGGCUCAACAUAAGACAGUGUUUCCCAAACUCGGUCCUGGGGACCCCAAGGGGUGCACAUUUUAGUUUUAGCCCUAGCACUACACAGCUGACUCAAAUAAUUGAAGCUUGAUGAUCAGCUGUGUAGUGCUAUGGCAAAAAGCUAAACAUGCACCCCUUGGGAUCCCCAGGACCGAGUUUGGGAAUUCCUGGCCUAAGAUCAUGUAGGACAUGGGGUCUCCAACCCUGUUCUCGGAGAGCUAUCCUCCUGUAGGUUUUUGCUCCAACCCCAGUUGUGACUAACCUGGCUCAGUUUAUUAUUAGAAUUAGGUAGGUCCUACCGGAUGGUAUGUCUCCGGGAACAGGGUUGGAGAGCCCUGCUGUAGAACCACCAUAAAAUAAAUAUGGAUAUUUUCUAUGAAUCUUCGGAAUAUGUCGGCCCUUAUGGAUUCAUAGAAUAUAUUUAUAUAAGUUGUACAUGGCUCUGUUGCAUCAAACAGAUGCUAGACAUUCAUAUUGACAAAUAAACAAACGUUCUUUGGAUAUCUACAAUACAGGAGUGUACACUAUUUAAUGCUACAUCAAGAGAACUGGGUAUUUCACAACAAUGGUAUAUGGUAAAAGUAACAUACACAUUUUUUUAAUGAAGUACAGUUCAGUGUGUCCAAAUGUGUGUCAGGUGCAGAGACACAGAAGUGCAGAGAACUGUAGUUAUAGAUUCUUACACCAGAUAAUGUGAUUCACCAAAGACGUUUGCAGACAUCUUGUCUAUGCCAAGUCUUCUUUCAUUGAUCGAGAUAGGUGUAUGUCCACCCCAAAGUACCUCAUAUCCUGAUGACAUAGACCUGUCUCGAUCAAUGUGUGAGAAGACUUGAAAUGGACACGAAGACGGCGCACGUACAGUGCAUUCGGAAAGUAUUCAGACCCCUUGACUUUUUACAAUUUUGUUAUGUUACAGCAUAAUUCUUAAAUGGAUUAAAUAGUUUUUCCCCUCAUCAAUCUACACACAAUACCUCAUAAUGGCAAAGAAAAACAGUUAAAAAAAAUUGUUGCAAAUGUUUAAAUCCCCCUGAAAUAUCACAUUUACAUAAGUAAAUUCAGACCCUUUACUCAGUACUUUGUUGAAGUACCUUUGUCAGCUAUUACAGCCUCAAGUCUUCUUGGGUAUGACGCUACAAGUGUGGCACACCUGUAUUUGGGGAGUUUCUCCCAUUUUUCUCUGCAGAUCCUCUAAUGCUCUGUCAGGUUGGAUGGGGAGCGUCGCUGCACAGCUAUUGUCAGCUCUCUCCGGAGAUGUUAGAUUGGGUUCAAGUCCGGGCUCUGGCUGGGCCACUCAAGGACAUUGAGACUUGUCUCGGAGCCACUCCUGCGUUGUCUUGGCUGUGUGCUUAGGGUCGUUGUCCUGUUGGAAGGUGAACCUUCACCCCAGUCUGAGGUCCUGAGCGCUCUGGAGCAGGUUUUCAUCAAGGAUCUCUCUGUACUUUGCGCCGUUAAUCUCUGCCUCGAACCUGACUAGUCUCCCAGUCCCUGGAGCUGAAAAACAUCCCCACAGCAUGAUGCUGCCACCACCGUGCUUCACCAUAGGGAUGGUGGCAGGUUUCCUCCAGAUGUGACUCUUGGCUUUCAGGCCAAAGAAUUCAACCUUGCUUUCAUCAGACCAAAGAGAAUCUUGUUUCUCAUGGUCUGUGAAUCUUUAGGUACCUUUUGGCAAACUCCAAAGGGCUGUCAUGUCCCUUUACUGAGGAGUGGCUUCUGUCUGGCCACUCUACAAUAAAUGCCUGUUUGGUUGAGUGCUACAGAGAUGGUUGUCCCUCUGGAAGGUUCUCCCAUCUCCACAGAGGAACUCUGACCAAGGCCCUUUUCCCCCGAUUGCUCAGUUUGACCGUGCGCCCAGCUCUAGGAAGAGUCUUGGUGGUUCUAAACUUCUUCCAUUUGAGAAUGAUGGAGGCCACUGUGUUCUUAGGGACCUUCAAUGCUGCAGACAUUUUUUGCAAAAAUGUCUAAAAACCUGUUUUCACUUUGUCAUUAUGGGGUAUUGUGUGUAGGUUGAUGGGGGGGGGAUUAUUUAAUCCAUUUUAGAAUAAGGCUCUAACUGGAAAAGUCAAGGGGUAUGAAUACUUUCCGAAUGCACUUUAUUGCUGGACGACUUUAUGGAACAAAAAAAGUAUUUUCAUAACGGAGCAUUUUCUGAAUUCAAACUGACUCCCUGCAACUGGACACAUACAUUUUAUGAGACUCCUGUUUGCCCAAAUCGAGGACGAAGACAGCAUCGCUAAUGUCAUGACGUGCCCUUGGGGGGGAGGAUCAUAGCCCCCCCCUCUCUCUCUUCACAGUUUUAUGACUUAACGACAGGUCGUGAAUUCCUUGCAGAAACUCUCUCUUCACUGCCAUGGAGUAUUGAGGGGGAGAACCUAUGGAGAACAAAAUACACUGUUCCCACCAUGACUCCUACAUCCCAAAAUUGAAGAAUGAAACAAUAUUCCUAUUUUAGAGAAAUUGGUAGGUGAUCGGUGGGAAAUCAAAGAACGACCAUGUCGAAUUUGUUUCAUUUUGUGACUUCAUGAAAGACAGUAUAACCACAUUACUGUAUCUUUUGUUUGUAUACACUUCUCAAUUGUGGGAUUUGCAUCGGAAUGUUGUAUAGAAUAAAUGAUUAAAGUAGAAGAAUACUUUUGGAAAGAUAACAAUGUGAUUUUAGUCUUCUAAAUGAGAAUUACUUUUCAUAGUAACUUAUGAUCAGUCAGUGACCCCGCCCCAAGUGAACAACAGACGUUGGGUGGAAAUGAUGAAACGCUCCGUUUUCUACUCCAAUAUAAAAAAACGCGACAAAAUGUACAUUAGACCAGAGAGCAUGGAGCUGUAGCGACGUUGAAAUGGUUGGCAAUUUAAAUACAGACCAGAGGACAUAGGGACGCUGUCCAUAUGUUACAAAUGGUUAAGAAGAAAAGUUCUACAAAACUGAAGACUACGCAUUCAGUCUGCAGCUGUUUGAGUACAUUAGUCUGGUAAACCGAUCGAACGACCAAAUGGUACUCUGAAAGAUCCAUUCUGGAGAACAUUUCACUAUCGAAUGACAAUUGGUAUCCCUGACGUAUCCAUUAUAACAAGCUACAACUACGAAAGACUUUCAACUCUAGUGGACAAACCAGAGACUUUCUGUCGACUGAUUCUCCAGCAGAGGGACCGGUGAUCACAGAGAGAGACAAAAAGACCUACAGUUGUAAAUAUAUAAAAUGCUAUUUAUUUUCGAAUGAGAGUGCAAAGUGUUAGCAUUUCCAUGAGCCUAGUUAUCAGAUGUGUGUACGAUAGUCGAGUCCUUUGUCUUUCCCACUCUAUCUGUCCCCACCCCUUUCAAUUGUCUACCAAGCCGUCAUAUCGGGCUUAGUCCACUAGGGUCUUUUCAUUGCAUUAUGUAGUAACCAAUGUAUAACCUAUCCUGUGUGUGUGUGUUUAUGUAAUUCUGUGUGAUUAUUUAGUUAGUAAAUAAAUAAUUAAGCCAA